GUUUGGUGAUUUCAUACAAUAAGCCCACGCGAUUCUGCAAAGAUGUUUGUGUCACACCUUUAUAUUUUAAUCCUGGUGUUAACUGAUGCGGCGUCAGUGCAGAUCCGACAGACUCCCGCUUUUGUAUCCCAACGCCCAGGCACUUCAAUCAGUAUAGAAUGCGUUUGCACAGAAGCUACAGCUAGCUCAUCCUUCUACUGGUAUCGAUGGCAUCCUGGUGGACAGCCUCAGAACCUUUUUUAUUCUUAUGCUGGAACAAUCACCCCGAACACUGAAGUUGACGGCUUCACCGCCAGGAAAUCUGGCAGCACUCACUUCUACCUCGAGUCUUCCAGCCUGGGGGUGAAUCACACAGCCGUGUAUUACUGCGCCUGGAGUUUACACACUGACUAAGAGAGAUGGGGAUGUUUAACAAAAACCCUCAGCGGAUCCGUAUGUGUCAGUCUGCCAGCCUCUCCUUUCUUCUAUGUCAAUCGAACUAUUAACUGAUUUGCGUAUCAAUCUAUUCGUUUCUAUAUCUUUUCCAAUUAUUUUUGAAAAGUCUUUUCUAAGAAGAGGAUUGAG